rnacentral:lncRNA from 12 species
GGCGGUGUCCACUGUGGUCCUCAGGCUCCCUCCCUCCCUCCCUGUGUGGCAGUGGCCCUCGGGCAAGCCUCUCUCACAGUCUCUGGCCCGUUGCCAUCUCGGUCAGUGGGGGACACAUCCAUCCCAAAAGGUCCAGGGGCUCGGGCACGGGACGCCCUGCCCUGAUCCUGUUCCUUUCUCCACCCCGCCCCGCCCCCAAUUGGCGUCGUGGCUGAGGCACGCUGCUUGUGAGUGGCGUCCCUUUGUCGUUUACAUUCUGAUGCAGUCUGCAAUCAGCGUGGGCUUCAGCUCCUCUGAUUAGCGGCUCUUGAAGGGAUUCUUCAGAGUCAGCAAGAACAGCCGCCUCGUCACCGUCCGGCAUCUGCUGCUCCUGGCUCGGGGGACGCACAUCUGCAUUCAAGAACUCGGCCACCGUUGGGCUGUGUGGACUCUCCUCUCAUCUGACCCCCAGUGGUACCUGUCUGGUUCCGGGCGUCAUGGGAUACCCGGGCUCCAUGAGGGACAGGGCACUACUACCACCCAGUCCCUGCCAGUCGCCCUUGUCUCUUCAAACGGAUUUGCACUGGACUUGCCCAUAUUCUGGGAUGUUUGCGACAUCAUACUGCCAUGGACCAGCCGGACAAGGAGAUUUGACCCCACAGGCAGAACAGUGGAUGAUGGUGGAGACUUGGGAUGGAAACGUUUUGGUUGAUGAAGGGACAUGCACACAUAGUACUGCCACUGUGCUCACACAGAGGAUAUCUAAAGCAACAGGUCUGAAGUUCAAGCAGAUGUGCAGUGUUAGACACCCAGCUGUGAAAAUCACAAGCACACACCAAAUCCAAGUGCCCGGAGCCCUGGGUCUGCCACAGCUGAGUGGCAGUGACAGGUGGGGUGGGUUCACACUGACUUCCAUUCACCUUUCAUGA